rnacentral:rRNA from 1 species
AGAGUUUGAUCCUGGCUCAGGAUGAACGCUAGCUACAGGCUUAACACAUGCAAGUCGAGGGGAAACGACAUCGAAAGCUUGCUUUUGAUGGGCGUCGACCGGCGCACGGGUGAGUAACGCGUAUCCAACCUGCCCACCACUUGGGGAUAACCUUGCGAAAGUAAGACUAAUACCCAAUGACGUCUCUAGAAGACAUCUGAAGGAGAUUAAAGAUUUAUCGGUGAUGGAUGGGGAUGCGUCUGAUUAGCUUGUUGGCGGGGUAACGGCCCACCAAGGCGACGAUCAGUAGGGGUUCUGAGAGGAAGGUCCCCCACAUUGGAACUGAGACACGGUCCAAACUCCUACGGGAGGCAGCAGUGAGGAAUAUUGGUCAAUGGGCGAGAGCCUGAACCAGCCAAGUAGCGUGCAGGAUGACGGCCCUAUGGGUUGUAAACUGCUUUUAUAAGGGAAUAAAGUGAGUCUCGUGAGACUUUUUGCAUGUACCUUAUGAAUAAGGACCGGCUAAUUCCGUGCCAGCAGCCGCGGUAAUACGGAAGGUCCGGGCGUUAUCCGGAUUUAUUGGGUUUAAAGGGAGCGUAGGCCGGAGAUUAAGCGUGUUGUGAAAUGUAGACGCUCAACGUCUGCACUGCAGCGCGAACUGGUUUCCUUGAGUACGCACAAAGUGGGCGGAAUUCGUGGUGUAGCGGUGAAAUGCUUAGAUAUCACGAAGAACUCCGAUUGCGAAGGCAGCUCACUGGAGCGCAACUGACGCUGAAGCUCGAAAGUGCGGGUAUCGAACAGGAUUAGAUACCCUGGUAGUCCGCACGGUAAACGAUGGAUGCCCGCUGUUGGUCUGAAUAGGUCAGCGGCCAAGCGAAAGCAUUAAGCAUCCCACCUGGGGAGUACGCCGGCAACGGUGAA